UUUUCGUUGGAGCGUCAGGCUGCUGUACAGCGGCUGCCGCUUGGCUGGGCUCACCAGACACAACUGUUGACACGGCUUAUGGGCUGCGGCCUGAACUGCUGCCUCACGUUCUCUCUCUCCCAGCAGCGCGAGCCUCACCGUGUAGCUGCCCCGUGCGAGGAACUGGCCAGCCCGCCUAAGGCCAGAUCUGUUCAGCAACGACCUGUUUCUGUGGGAGCUCCAAGAAGCGGCACCUCUCCCUGUCCCAAGCACAGUGCCAGCAGCCCCACAGCUCAUUAGGAAUGAGACACCCCAGCAAACAGUAUAGUUCCUGGCGGAGACACCCCAGCAAACGCCUCCGAGGAGCUGGGAGUGUGGGUCAGCAAGAGGACACACUUGACUUGCCUAACGGGACGUCUUCUCACAGCAACAGAAAUGGAACUAGAACACAGACCAAGCAACCAUGAUCCAACAAUAUAUUAUACAUAACUGAAGUGAUGGCUCAUGCUUCUAGUCCCAGCCCUCCGAAGGCUGAAACAGGAGGAUCUUGGUCAGUUCACGAUCAACCUGGGCUGCAGACUGAAACGCUAUCCCCCAACAAAAAAGUUAAAAACCUGAAGUGUAAAAUGCUCCAAAGUCAAAACUUUUUGAGUACCAACAUGACACCGUGAGUGGAAUAUUCCACAACUGACCUCAUAUAAUGAGUCACACUCAAGACAUAGAUGUAAUAAAAAUAUAAUAUAUAAUUACCUCUAGGCAAUGUGUGUAAGGCGUGUGUGUGUGAAACAGAAAUGAAUUUCAUGUUUAGACUUGGAUCUCUUUCC